GUCUGUGUAGAUUAAUGAGUAAAUCGUGAUGCUGUUAACUUCAAGAAGGGACACGUCCCUGCAGUCG
rnacentral:tRNA from 1 species